rnacentral:misc_RNA from 1 species
UCUCCGUUGGUGAACCAGCGGAGGGAUCAUUACCGAGUUUACAACUCCCAAACCCAAUGUGAACGUUACCAAACUGUUGCCUCGGCGGGAUCUCUGCCCCGGGUGCGUCGCAGCCCCGGACCAAGGCGCCCGCCGGAGGACCAACCAAAACUCUUAUUGUAUACCCCCUCGCGGGUUUUUUUUUAUAAUCUGAGCCUUCUCGGCGCCUCUCGUAGGCGUUUCGAAAAUGAAUCAAAACUUUCAACAACGGAUCUCUUGGUUCUG